rnacentral:rRNA from 1 species
AUGGCCGACGGCGGUUCUUCUCCAGUGGCGGCUGCGGCGAGAAAGUGGGAGUGGGACCAGGAAGAGUAUCGGUGCGAGCCGGCGGAGUAUUCCGUGGACCCGCGAUACAGCGAGUACGACCCCAAGCAGGGCUGUUUCAUAUGCGUCCGCUACUUCUUCGACGGCAAACUCGACCUGGACGAGGAGUCACCUGCUGGCCCCAUGCGACAUACUGGUAAAAUCUUCAGAGAGGGGUUCCCGCUCGCAAACUCGGUCAAUGUUGUCUCCAUCAAGAUUGUUUCCUCCGACUAUGGCUACCCACUCAAUGUCUAUGCACCUGCCGGUCCCAUGCAACAUACUGGUAAAACCUUCAAAGAGGCGUUCCGGCUCAAAAACUCGGUCAAUGUUGUCUCCAUCAAUAUUGUGUCCUCCGACUAUGGCUACCCACUCAAUGUCUAUGGUGAAGGAUGUGCAUGGGAGGACUGUGAUGAUGAUAGACUCAGUAAAGGCCUGAUGGAGGUGGAUGCUAUCAGCAGGCUGGAAUAUAGUCCCAGAUAUGUGGUUGAUACGGAAACACUUGUCAGCAUGCACAGCAUAUUGGAUUUAAACUAUACAUUCGUAAGGAGGUCGGUGGAGGCCACUGUUGAGAUCAGGAUCCUUGAGGGACCUGAUGAAUUCCAUGGGAAGAUUGUUGCUUCCACUACCAGUAUUCCAUGCGACAUUGUGCUACAUGAUAGCAAAGUGAGUGGUGCCCUAACUGCAGGUGAUGAUGAGUUAUCUGUCGUCACUAUUGAGUUUACUCCAAGGCGCAAUGGUUACGAUGAUGGGAGUAUCACCUGCGGGGACUACAAGAUGCUUCUGAAGGUCACUUGGGCGAUUAUGUAA